rnacentral:rRNA from 1 species
UACGGAGGGUGUGAGCGUUGUCCGGAAUCACUGGGCGUAAAGGGCGCGUAGGUGGCGCGGGCAGUCAACGGUGAAAGUUCGGGGCUCAACCCUGAAUCGGCCGUCGAUACUCCCGGGCUUGAGCACUGUAGAGGCAGAUGGAAUUCCGGGUGUAGCGGUGGAAUGCGUAGAGAUCCGGAAGAACACCGGUGGCGAAGGCGGUCUGCUGGGCAGUAGCUGACACUGAGGCGCGACAGCGUGGGGAGCAAACAGG